CUAACAGCACUACUGGGAUGGGUCCGAGGCUCAGGCAUCAGUGAAGAAGGAAAAUGCAGGUUUUAGGUUCACGGGGCUGCAGCAUGAGCUCUAGAUCAGAGGGACCAUUGACCUUCAGGGAUGUGGCCAUAGAUUUCUCUCAGGAGGAGUGGGAAUGCCUGGACCCAGCUCAGCGGAAGUUGUACAUGGAUGUGAUGUUGGAAAACUACAGCAACCUGGCUUCCCUGGCUAUGUCACCUAAAGAUAACCAGGCCUUUAUGCCAAAGCCCGGAAUACAAGAUUUAUUCUCUGAAAUAAUACUGAGUACACAUAAUGAAGAUAGAAGUUAUCAAUGGAUUGAACAUUGGAAAAACAUUAAGCUAGAGUCAUAUCUUAGUCAUCGGACAAGUGAGCUGGCAGAGGAGCAUCAUAAAAAUGGAAAAGUCUUUGACCAAAUGUCCAAUCUCAACAUACAUCAGUUUAUUCCUAUUGUGGAGAAGACACACAAAGGAAGUAAAUGUGUCCAGUCUUUUCUGCAGCCUUCAAAUGACGAUGAACAAGAGAAUAUUCAUACUAGGGAGCAGGCUCACAAAUGGAAUCCGUGUGGGAGAGUCUGCAGUCAAAUAUUCAAUCUAAAUAGACGCAAAAAAAUCCAUAGGGGAAACGAACCUUAUAAAUGUAAAGAUUUUGGUAAAAUAUCUUAUUGGCCUUCAGGUUAUACUCUAAAUCAGAGAAUUUAUACUGGAGAGAAGCCUUACAAAUGUAAAGCAUGUGGCAAAGCCUUUAAAUGUCAUUCCUCUCUUAUUGUACAUAAAGAAAGAAUUCACACUAAAGCAAAAUUAUACAAACUUAGGGAAAAUGAAAAAGUCUUUAGUCAGUCCUCAAUACAUACUCAACAUCAUAGAAAUCAUAGGGAAGAAAAGUUUUGUAAAUGUUCAGAAUGUCACAAAAUCUUUAGCUGGCCCUCAACCCGUAUUUUUCAUCAGAGAAUUCACACUGGAGAAAACCCUUAUAAAUGUAGAGAAUGUUGCAAAUCCUUUAAAAACCAUGCAGUUCUUACUAAUCAUCAGAGUGUUCAUACUGAAGAUAGGCCUUAUAAAUGUAGAGAAUGUGGUCAAGCAUUCCUCCACGCCUCAAACAUGAUUCGACAUAAGAAAGUUCACACUGGAGAGAAACCUCACAAAUGUAGAGAAUGUGGCAAAGCCUUUUCCCGGUCCUCACACCUUACUUGUCAUCAGAGAGUUCAUUCUGGAGAGAAGCCUUAUAAAUGUAGAGAAUGUGGCAAAGCCUUUAGCCAGUCCUCAGUCCUUACUUACCAUCAGAGAGUUCAUACUGGAGAGAAGCCUUAUAAAUGUAGAGAAUGUGACAAAGCCUUUAGAUCUUCCUCCUCCCUUAAGGUACAUCAAAGACUUCAUACCGGAGAUAAGGUUUAUAAAUGUAGAGCAUGUGGCAAAGCCUUUGGCCGGUCCUCACACUUUACUUAUCAUCAGAGAGUUCACUGUGGAGAAAAGCCUUAUAAAUGUAAAGUGUGUGGCAAAACCUUUAGCUACUCCUCAGAUUUUAAUCGUCAUCAGCUUAUUCAUACUGGAGAGAAGCCUUAUAAGUGUAGAGAAUGUGGCAAAGCCUUUAGCCGGUUCUCAUCCCUUACUAAUCAUCAGAGCGUUCAUACUGGAGAGAAGCCUUAUAAAUGUAGAGAAUGUGGCAAAGCAUUUAGCAGGACUUCAAAUCUUAUUGCACAUCAGAAAGUUCACACUGGAGAGAAACCAUAUAAAUGUAGAGAAUGUGGGAAAGCCUUUAGCAGGUCUUCAAAUCUUAUUGCACAUCAGAGAAUUCAUUCAGGAGAGAAGCCUUAUACAUGUAGAGAAUGUGGCAAAGCCUUUGUCAGCUCCUCAGAUCUCACUAAGCACCAGCGAGUUCACACUGGAGAGAAGCCUUAUAAAUGUAGAGAAUGUGGCAAAUCGUUUGGCAGGUCUGCAUCCCUUACUAAGCAUCAGAGAGUUCACACUUGAGAGCAGCCUUAUAAAUGUAGAGGAUAUAACGGCCUUUCAUCACUGUGUCUGCCUUAUUGUACAGCAGAGUUCAUACUUGAGAGAAGACUUACAGAUGUGAGGAGUGUUUGUAAGUCCUUUACCAGCUGUGAGAACUUACAGACCGUCACAGAAUUGAUACUGGCAAGAAGCCUUAUGAAUGUGAAAAAUGUAGAAAAGGCUUUAUAAGGCAUUCAUGUCUUACUGUACCUGAGAGACUUUAUACUAAAAAGAGAACUUACAGAUGUAGACAAUGGGCUGGAGCCUUUACUCACAGCUCAAAAUUCACUGCACAUCAGAGAUUUUACAGUGGAGGGAAACCUUACACUGUAGAAAGUGAGAAAGCCUUUAACUUGUGGUCUAACCUGCUCAACAUUUUAGGAAUCAUUCUAAAGAGAAACAGCAAUAAUAGAAAGUUUUCAUCUAAGGAUUUAAGCUUCAAAGGUUGAAGCUACAUUGAGAAUGAUAAAUAAGGUCUUAUAAAUUAUCAGGCAUAUGUUAAAGUGUAUAUCCUCAUAUCUCAUACAACAUCUGAUGAUUAUUACUGGAUCGAAUUCCCGCAGAUAUAAAGAAUGUGAUGAAGCUUACCCAUAAUGUAAACUUUAACCGACAUCAGAAUUCAUACUGGGGAGAAACAAUACAAAUGUAACGUCCUAAAGCCUUUAAUCAGCAUCCAAAGCUUAAUCCUCACAUUGGAAUUCAUUCUAGAGUAGCGGUUCUCAACCUGUGGGUCACGACCCCCUUUGGGGCUCGAACAACCCUUUCACAGGGGUCACCUAAGACCAUCGGAAAACACAUAUAUAAUUACAUAUUGUUUUUGUGAUUAAUAACUUUGCUUUAAUUACGUUCAAUUUGUAACAAUGAUACUGGGGGUCACCACAAUAUGAGGAACUGUAUUAAAGGGUCGUGGCAUUAGGAAGGUUGAGAAACACUUUUCUGGAGGGAUACCUUAAAUCUGAAGAAUGUGGGAAAUCAUAUACUUGGACUACAGCCUCAGUCAGUAUCAGGUAUUUUAAUUGGAUACAAAUUCUACAUUCAUGUUAUAGGAGGAGGAACUUUUGUUCAAAAUGUACAGUUUAUAAAACUCCAAGGAAUUUAUUCCUCAAAGUGACUUUAAAAAUGUAAAAACGUUAUCUAAGUAUAUAAUUGAUUAUGGAUUUCAAAGUAUGACUGAAUUCACACUAGAUAGACAGCCAAAGUGCCUUUCAAGUAUUGUUCAAAAUUUGAAUGUUUAUUACACACUGUACUCUGCUGGGGUUCUUGUCCUAGCAUCAAGAAAGGUUCAUGACUCUGGAGAAGGCUGUGCGUAGAUGUUAAAUAAGAGGAGUCCAGAUACUAAUAAAGAGUUUGGAGAUGAAAUAUAAUUUUGAAAGGCAUUUGGGAGUCAGAGGAGCUUAGCUAAAGGAGCUAAGAUCUAAGGUCUUAAGUCUAAGGCUUUAGAUUCUCCUCGUCCCCAGGACCCCAUGCUUUUUUGUUUUUUAACAUACAAUCAAAAAAUUUUCUUUAAUAAAGAAUUCACCUCAUGUGUCUAAUGUAAAACAAAAUGUGGUGGGGUCCAGCCCCAGUGGUCCAGAGGUACUGGGUCGGCGAAGAAUGAAGGACAUGGAGAUACCGUCCAGAUGAUCAGCAUAGUCAGGUUCUUAUUUAUUGUCCUGUUACCGCUGUAUUUAUACUAUUUGAUUCUAUAAGCGUGUCUCUGUAGUUACAUCAUGGUAUGUUUUGGGUUGUCCUUUAACCUUUUACAGUUUCUUGUUUUAUGUUUAUAGUUUCUUAUCUGACCUUUGCUAAAAAUCUUAUCUCUAUCUAGCUCUGUUGAUUUUAAUCUCAUCUUUUGUAUAUGUUUCUACAUUCUAUUCUAAAGGUUAGUCUCUGUGCUCCAUUAUAAGGGCUAAUUUGUUAUUUCUAUUCCAAGGUCACUAUUCUACUGCUCUGCUGUUAAGCUAUAAGGAAAUAAUUGAAGGAGAUUUUCCUAUUCUAUGGCCUAAGUAAAGGUUAUGUGGCUUAAGCGUGAUUGUUAGUUAUGGUGAUUAACUACCUGCCUGGCACUUAGUUUAAGUCUUUGUGUUUGCAUGGCUGCCAUAAGAUUUUUAGAUAAGGAGCCUGCCUGCAUUGUUUGCAGGAGUAUUUCUUUAGCUGUUUUGAUAUUUGUCCUUUUAUCCUUGCCGGUGGUCUUCCUUGGGACUGCCCUGUGUCUGCGGGCUUUUAGGGGUAUAGGCUUUGGUACUUUCUCUGGUGGGUAAACCCCUGGGGAUGUGGGCCUAGCAAGUCAUAAAUUUUUUUUUUAAUUUGAUUUUGAUUUUUUUAUUUGAUUGGUUUUCAAGCUUUUUAUAAAAUAUUUAUUUCAGAGAGGGAGAGAGAGACCUAAAGAGAGAGAGAGAAAUCAAUGAUGAGAGACAAUCAUGGAUCGGCUGCCCCCUGCACACUCCCUCACUGGGGAUCAAGCCCCCAACCCGGGCAUGUGCCCUUAUGGAAAAUGGAGCCAUGACUUCCUGGUUCAUAGGUCGAUGCUCAACCACUCAGCACUCAGCUGGGCUAACAUGUUUCUUAAAAAUCACCUCAGCCCUGGCUGGUGUGGCUCAGCUGGUUGUGCAGCCUCAUGUUCAUCAAAAGGUGCCGGUUCCAUUCCCAUGGCAAGCACAUACCCAGUCCCGGCCCAUACAGGGGGCGGCGGACUUAUUCUCUCAUCGUUGAUGUCUCUCCCAUCCUCUCUGAAAUCAAUAGAUUUUUUUAAAUAAAUAAAUUAAAUAAAAUGACUGGGUGAGUUUAUUUUCCUGGUCCUUUGCGUCUCUGUGCUGGGGGCGGGGCUGCGCGGGUCCCUGCACCUGUCGGCCUCCUUGUGUCCUGUCCAUUUGGGGGAAGAGGGCUCUGCAUCCGGGGAGACGGGAGACGUGGUGAGGAGGGUGUGUUUCGGGUGGAGGGGCGGCCUUGGGAGCACCGCUCAUCCAUCUGGUCCGGGAUUUGGGGAAGGAAGACGGUAGCUGAUGAGGUUGGUGCUGUUGGGUGCAGCUCCUGUACCUGAGAAGGCACGCUUGGAUGCGCUCCUGUCAGAGGGUCUUGUUCCUGGUUCCGUGUCCGUUCUGAAGACUCCUCAGGUUUGUUUUUGGUGAAUUUAGAUCUAAGAUUUUUAAACCAAAUUUGGAGGGUGGACUCUGAGACCCCAACUUCCUUAGCAAGUUUCUCCCGGAAUUCAAUCCCGGAGUACUGGUUCCUGGCAAAGACCAUCAGGAGGGUGUAGACUCGGGAGGCCAUGAACCUGGUACUACUCCGUUUGUCUUUUAGAUUUGGCAUCAUCUCCACAGGGUGGUCUUGGACCCAAUCUUCGCCUUGGCUUCCUCCCAAGUGGUCCUGUGGCUCUGAUCUCCUUUGAAGUCCGUGCCUAGCUCUUUGAUUCUGAAACCAAACCUCAAUUUGAUACACUUCGAGGCCUGUGUGUACAGCCAGCUUUCGCUUGAAAGCAGGGACUGGGUAAGGCAUCUGGUUGAAUACUUGGAUGAGGGUUUUCACCUGAUUCUCUGUGAAUAUGGUGUAGCCUCACCUGUAAUGCAUCGAUGGUCCUGCUCUCUCUGAGCUCCAGCGCUGGGUGGUGGCAUGGGGGUAAACAUUAACAUACGGGGAAAAACUGGACUGUGUGCCAGCGGGUCAGGAACUUGCACUACUUGGCAUCGUCUCCACAGUGUGGUGUUGGUCCAGAUCUUGGCCUUGGCUUCCUUCCAAGUGGUCCUGGGGUUCUGAUCUCCAUUGAAGUCCGUGCCUAGAUCUUCGACUCUGCUCCUCUGUGAAUAUGGUGAAGCUUCGCCUGGGAUACACCAAUGAUCCUGCUACUUCUGACCUCCAGCAUGGGGUGGUGGCAUGGGGGGAACUAGGGACAGACAAGGAAGAACUGGACUGUGCACUGGCGGGACAGGAACUUCCACUCCUUGGCAACGUCUCCACAGGGCGGUCUUGGUCGUGGUCUUGGCUUUGGCUUGCUCCCAUGUGGUCCUGGGGCUCUGAUCUCUGGCCUCCGUGCCUAGAUCUUCAAUUAUGAAACCAAAGCUCAAUUUCAGACUCUUCGAGGCCUGUGUCUGCAGCGAGCUUUCGCUUGAUAGGAUAGUCUGGGUAAGGCAUUUGGUUGAAUACUUGAAUGAGGGUUUUCACCUGAUCCUCUGUGAAUGUGGCACAGCUUUGCCCACGAUUCACUGAGUCGGCAGAGCUGUCCUGAGCCAUGUGGCUUGACAGGAGUCUCGGCUGCGACCAGGAGAGAUUAAGUCCUAAAUUUAUUGCUAACAUUCUUAGUCUAAGUUCCUCAUAAGAAGUACACGGUAUUUCUGUAACACUAGGGAGUUUUACUGAUUUAUUCCCUUCCCUAGUCCCUAACUCCAGGGAAACAUUACCACCUGGGGAAACAGCCUUUCUCGGUGAUGGGGCCCUGGUUAGAACACAUAGCGCUAAGAAGGGGAGCAGACAUUAAGAACAGUAUGCCAAAUAUGCCAGAUCCCUUGGAACAUGUGCUGUGCAGAUGUUUCUUACCUGCAGCGACUAUGUCAAGCAGCAAGGAUGGAACGGCUUUAGGCAAAAAUGUUAUGUAAAGAAUCCAGUAAAUUUUUUGCUGCUUAUGUUUAGGUCAUGUAAUUUUUCAGCAAAAUCCCUUCAUAUUCUUGUUGCAUUUUUCAAAAGUAGAUCUUGACAUGAACUUGACCUACUGAUUGAUCCUACAGCACAAGCUCUAUAGGAUUCAGCUUUAAAUUUUGCAGCAUCUUCUUUUAGUUCUCUAAUUAGGAUUUCUCAAUGCACCUGCCACAUCUGGAGCAGAGGCCUUCCAGGGGAAGAGGCGGUGUCUUGGAGUAAACCAGAGACCAUGGUGACCCCUGGUGACCAGGUUUCAAACACUGGGGAUCCAAAAGCAGCCUGACUGGGGCUGGCAUGGAUAUGCUGGUAGAAGACGGUGUCUGCAUUCCUGCAGUAAGUGGAAGUGCAUGGCCUUGAGGUAGCACUGUCCAAGUUUUCUCUUGGAGUAGAAUUUCUCUUGCUGAGCAAUAAUCUAUUCAUCUGUUUCUCCAGAAGUUCGGUGCUAAGCUCUGCUAACCUCUCCUUCAUCCUGUGAAAAUCAGUUAGCUUAUUUUCCAAUAACUUUCUGCGUUCCAUUUCUUCUUGGCAGAGUCGCACAUAUUUUUCCAAUUCUCUUUUGAUAACAUCUUGAGAAGUUUGCACUUUGGAGAUUUCUGAUUCCAGCUCUUUAUUUCUGAGUUCCAAAGGACUUCUUCUUGAAGCCUGAUAAUUUAUCAUCUGCGCUGACAUUUCUUGAGAUGCUCUUUGUAUCUGUAAAAAUGAAUUGAUUUGUUCUCCGGUGUGUCUACAUCCCAUCUUGCUCUUUCAUCAAUCUUCUUUUUGUACUCGUCUGCUUCACAGAUUUCUAUCCUAUUCGUUUCCAUAUAUGUCCCGAGUUUUACUGUUUCUUGUUCCCACUUCCGUGCUGUAUUCUUUAGUUCUUCACAUUCCUUUAGAAGUGCUUCCUCUGCUAAAUGCUGUUGAGGUGUCUUUUCUUUAACCAGACGUAUAGAUUUUGAAGAUGAAGGUUGUACUUUUGCUAUAAGAACAUCAUUAACCACGGGUUCAACUGGCUGGGGAGACUCUUCAUCUUCUCCUAGGAUUCUUUUCCAGAAGGAUGUUGCUCUUAAACGCCAAAUCAUAUUUCACACAGUUCAGUCUCAAUAGGAUAACCGUUGUGAUGGAGUAAAACGGCCGCCUCUCCUCCUUUCUCCCCGCAGAACGCUGGCAGCAGGGCAUGUGCACUGCAACGGCCUGGGCUGAAGUGAGCAUGCCCGAUAAUGGGCUUAGUCCCCAUUGGGCUUGCACAGUCACUGGGCCAUGCAGUGAGGCUCGUCAUUUUCUUUUCCUUUUUUAUUUCUUAACUCUUUCUUGACUUUGGCAAAUUAAAAUAGAAUAAGUUAACAAGUAUUUUUUUCAAAAAAACUUUUUGUUCAAAAAUACUGUCAAAAAUCCCUAGAAAGCUUUCAGUACUGAAUAUAAUAUUAGCACAGUGUCAAAAAUGUUGAAGAGGGAGACAAAAUAAAAAUGUGUGGUCCUGCAACCUGGCCUUCCUGUGCCAUCACCAGGGACGCCUGGGAGACAAAGAGGAGGAGGAGGCAAGGCUCCAGGGAGGCCACCCCCCCACACACAUGCUUUUUAUUAACACAAGUUGUCCUGAGAUGAGGCAGAGAUAUACACUUCAAAGGGUCAGGGUUUCCUACAGAGUCCAUUGUCAGAAUGGGGGAAUUACCCUAUGGCUGUUCAGGUGUUUGGCCUGUAGGAGGCAAUAACAUAUAGAUUAAGAUGCCCUGGGCUGUCUGGCAGCCAGGAAUCAAUUUAAUGUAUCCUAUUCAGGUUUGGGGAAAUGCCCUCAGCCAUUCCCAGUUGCGGCCCUGCUGUCAUGCUGGAAUUGGUCUCCAGCAGUACUCCAAACUUUAAAUGUAGUUAGGUAAUAUUUGUAUACUUGAAUAUAUUAAAAGAAUUGAUGUUUCCAUAUCCACAAUUAACUUAGAUUAUUCUUUAUAUUGAAGUCAUUUGAAGUCUUCUGAAUAGAAAAUAUUAAUGUGAUUUUUAUUCCCCUAUCACUUGAUGUUGCUAUGUUUUAUGCCUGGUGUGUAUGUGAGUGAAAUCAUCGGGUUGAUUGUUUCUGUCUUAAAGAUCUGUGACCUGUUGUAUAUUAUAUGGACUUACCUUGUGUACAGUUUUUCAUGGAAUCAUGUAUAAAUUGUAAGAGGCAGUAUUUUCUUCUAUUAGAGAAUGAAGCUAGUGAAUAAAUCUUUUAAAAAAAUUUUU